rnacentral:rRNA from 1 species
UACGAAGGGGGCUAGCGUUGUUCGGAUUUACUGGGCGUAAAGCGCACGUAGGCGGAUCGUUAAGUCGGGGGUGAAAUCCUGGAGCUCAACUCCAGAACUGCCUUCGAUACUGGCGAUCUUGAGUCCGGAAGAGGUGAGUGGAACUCCUAGUGUAGAGGUGGAAUUCGUAGAUAUUGGGAAGAACACCGGUGGCGAAGGCGGCUCACUGGCUCGUAACUGACGCUCAUGCACGACAGCGUGGGGAUCAAACAGG